rnacentral:rRNA from 1 species
AUUGAACGCUGGCGGCAGGCUUAACACAUGCAAGUCGAGCGGAGUGAUGGUGCUUGCACUAUCACUUAGCGGCGGACGGGUGAGUAAUGCUUAGGAAUCUGCCUAUUAGUGGGGGACAACAUCUCGAAAGGGAUGCUAAUACCGCAUACGUCCUACGGGAGAAAGCAGGGGAUCACUUGUGACCUUGCGCUAAUAGAUGAGCCUAAGUCGGAUUAGCUAGUUGGUGGGGAAAAGGCCUACCAAGGCGACGAUCUGUAGCGGGUCUGAGAGGAUGAUCCGCCCCACUGGGACUGAGACACGGCCCAGACUCCUACGGGAGGCAGCAGUGGGGAAUAUUGGACAAUGGGGGGAACCCUGAUCCAGCCAUGCCGCGUGUGUGAAGAAGGCCUUAUGGUUGUAAAGCACUUUAAGCGAGGAGGAGGCUCUUUUGGUUAAUACCCAAGAUGAGUGGACGUUACUCGCAGAAUAAGCACCGGCUAACUCUGUGCCAGCCGCCGCAGUAA